rnacentral:rRNA from 1 species
GUAAGGAAUAUUGGGCAAUGGGCGGAAGCCUGACCCAGCCAUCCCGCGUGCAGGAUGACGGCCCUAUGGGUUGUAAACUGCUUUUAUUGGAGAAGAAAGAAGUGCAUUUAUGUGCUUUUGACGGUAUCCUAUGAAUAAGCACCGGCUAACUCCGUGCCAGCAGCCGCGGUAAUACGGAGGGUGCAAGCGUUAUCCGGAAUCACUGGGUUUAAAGGGUGCGUAGGCGGCUUGAUAAGUCAGAGGUGAAAGCUGGCAGCUUAACUGUCAAACUGCCUUUGAUACUGUUGAGCUUGAAUCAGGUUAAGGUAGGCAGAAUGUGGCAUGUAGCGGUGAAAUGCAUAGAUAUGCCAUAGAAUACCAAUUGCGAAGGCAGCCUGCUGGGCCUGAAUUGACGCUGAGGCACGAAAGCGUGGGGAGCAAACAGGAUUAGAAACCCUGGUAGUCC